UUCCUCCGUAGCUCAAUUGGCAGAGCGCGCGACUGUUAAUCGCGUGGUUGGUGGUUCGAGUCCACCCGUUGGAGC
rnacentral:tRNA from 1 species